CUGGGUGGCAUCUUCUCCCAUGAGUCUUAUCAAAGUCAAGAGGAUCCUCCACAGAGCCAAUUGCUGCCUCUGCAAGGAAAGAGAGCUGUUCUGAAAGAAAGAACAGGAAGGCAGAGGUCCUUUGCUAUGAGCAGUCAAAACUGCAAGCAGUAAGAUUCAGCUGUGUUACGUGACACAGAUUUUCCCAAGAAAAGAGAUACAAGAGGCUGCUGCAUCCCCCUCUCCAUCCCUAGUAAGGCUGCCUGCCUCCGCUUGUGUGCAUCUGGCCGUGUAACUCGGCCAAGGCGAUGUAGCGCACAGCCCUCCCUCACAUCCAGUGCACGCGGUGGGUCUGGCCCUGGGGAAGGCCAUCUCGGGGGCUUACUUGCAGCCACGGACCUGUCCUGCUGAGUGGUGAGGUCAUCGGGGCACUGUCUGAGUCUUUUCAGGUGGAGCGUGAGAAUAAUCAAUGUCAUCAAAACAUUUGGGGUUCACCAAUGUUGACUUUAACAGCUGUACCGUACAAUUUUCUUUAUUGAACUUGGACGGGCUUAAACCGGGCUUUUCUCGGCUUGCUGUCCCAUUAGAUCUGGAUGUGAUAACAAACUACAGCCUAGGCAUUGGGUAUUUGGCUUGCAUCUCUGCAUCUUCCUGCUUGUAAGUAUUUUAUUCCUUUUUUUUUUUUUGCUUGCUUUUCACUAACUUUUAAGGAACAGAUUCAAUUGACAGGUUCUGGGUCUGAUCCUAGGUCAGGAUAUCUUUGCUUUAUGCUGAUAUAAAUAACCGUAUAGUGUGCAGAUCAAUGGAAAAUGUAAGUGACAGAGGCAUUUGACUCUAUUUGGAUUGAGCUAAGUUAUGUACAUGGCUCUGAGAGUUUCCUAUUCCCAGUCCCAUAGAAAACCCCAAACAAAAUAUAACUUGAUUUUAACCUGCAACAAAACCAUCUGGGCACUUGUCUUGUUAGAUUUUAAAAGUCAUAAAUUGAAAUCAUAUUAGAUCAUAAUAAACAAUGAAAUUAGAUCA
rnacentral:lncRNA from 1 species